rnacentral:rRNA from 1 species
AUUGAACGCUGGCGGCAGGCCUAACACAUGCAAGUCGAACGAGUGGCGGACGGGUGAGUAAUGUCUGGGAAACUCCCUGAUUGAGGGGGAUAACUACUGGAACCGGUCGCUAAUACCGCAUACCAUCAGAUGUGCCCAGAUGGGCUUAGCUUGUUGGUGGGGUAACGGCUCACCAAGGCGACGAUCCCUAGCUGGUCUGAGAGGAUGACAAGCAAAACGGGAACUGAGACACGGUCCAGACUCCGACGGGAGGCAGCAGUGGGGAAUAUUGGACAAUGGGGGCAAGGCUGAUGCAGCCAUGCCGCGUGUAUGAAGAAGGCCUGCGGGUUGUAAAGUACUUUCAGCGGGGAGGCGUUACCCGCAGAAGAAGCACCGGCUAACUCCGUGCCAGCAGCCGCGGUAAUUC